rnacentral:rRNA from 1 species
CAGGUACUAUCAACCCUGUAGGCUAUUAACCUCCAGGUCUUACUCCCUGAUGACAGGAGUUUACAAUCUUAAGACCGUCAUCCUCCACGCGGCGUUGCACCAUCAGACUUUCGUCCAUUGUGAAUUAUUCUCG